AGAUUGAACGCUAGCGGGAUGCUUUACACAUGCAAGUCGAACGGCAGCGCGGACUUCGGUCUGGCGGCGAGUGGCGAACGGGUGAGUAAUAUAUCGGAACGUGCCCAGUCGUGGGGGAUAACGCAGCGAAAGCUGCGCUAAUACCGCAUACGAUCUAUGGAUGAAAGCGGGGGGACCUAAGGCCUCGCGCGAUUGGAGCGGCCGAUAUCAGAUUAGGUAGUUGGUGGGGUAAAGGCUCACCAAGCCAACGAUCUGUAGCUGGUCUGAGAGGACGACCAGCCACACUGGGACUGAGACACGGCCCAGACUCCUACGGGAGGCAGCAGUGGGGAAUUUUGGACAAUGGGCGCAAGCCUGAUCCAGCAAUGCGCGUGCAGGAAGAAGGCCUUCGGUUGUAACUGCUUUGUACGGAACGAACGUCCUGGUUAACUACUGGGCUAAUGACGGUACCGUAAGAAUAAGCGACCGCUAACUACGUGCCAGCAGCCGCGGUAACG
rnacentral:rRNA from 1 species